rnacentral:rRNA from 1 species
AUUGAACGCUGGCGGCAGGCCUAACACAUGCAAGUCGAACGGUAGCACAGAGAGCUUGCUCUCGGGUGACGAGUGGCGGACGGGUGAGUAAUGUCUGGGAAACUGCCCGAUGGAGGGGGAUAACUACUGGAAACGGUAGCUAAUACCGCAUAAUGUCGCAAGACCAAAGAGGGGGACCUUGGGGCCUCUUUCUAUCGGAUGUGCCCAGAUGGGAUUAGCUUGUUGGUGAGGUAAUGGCUCACCAAGGCGACGAUCCCUAGCUGGUCUGAGAGGAUGACCAGCCACACUGGAACUGAGACACGGUCCAGACUCCUACGGGAGGCAGCAGUGGGGAAUAUUGCACAAUGGGCGCAAGCCUGAUGCAGCAAUGCCGCGUGUGUGAAGAAGGCCUUCGGGUUGUAAAGCACUGUCAGCAGGGAGGAAGGCGAUACGGUUAAUAAACGUGUUGAUUGACGGUACCCGAAGAAGAAGCACCGGCUAACUCCGUG